ACCUUGCGGCCGUUCAAAAGCAACCGUCGAGAAGUCGACAAACCCGCGCUGUUUCACUUCUUCCCUCUUUUUUCAGAAUUUCUUCAAUCCCACAACCUUCGAGCUUCAAUCUCUAAAUCAGAUUCGUUUUCAAGCUUCUUCAAUCCCUAAACCCUAAAAAAAUCUGCGAUAUUCUUACUCAUUAGCUUCAAUCCUAAAUCUGUGAUUCUCACUCACAAGCUCCAAUCCCUAAAUCUCUCAAGCUACGUUCAGGUUCAACAUUCAGGCUUCGUUCGAAUCCCUAAAUCACUCAACCUCUCAAGCUUCGUUGAACCUCUCAAGCUUCGCUGAACCUUCAAUCUUCAUUCAACUUCGUUCAGCUUCGUUCAACAUUCAAAUUCAUAUUCAAUCUUCAAAAUCCAGGUUUUGGCUUUUAAGAACAAGAAACUACUAUCCAUUCUCAGUUUUGAAGUUGAUGCUGUGAGGAAGGUACCUAAGGUAUUGCUGCGAGAUCCAACAGAUGAACACGUGGUUCUUGUUGUUGAGGAACUGCAGAGGCGAUUGCCUAAACUGAGUGACAUCCGUCAACAACAAGGAGAUGGUAAAGAGUAUUUUGGUGGUCAACAGGAUGCUGAAGCUGCUGAAGAUGAGUCACCGUUUGAGUUUCAUGCCUUGGAGGUGGUUUUAGAAGCCAUUUGUAGUUAUCUUGUUGCACGUACAACUGAGUUGGAGAUGGUUGCUUAUCCUGCCUUAUAUGAACUUACCUCCAAGAUUAGUAGUCGUAAUUUGGACAGAGUUCGUAAACUGAAGAGUGCAAUGACAAGGCUGACAGCUCGGGUUCAAAAGGUAUGUUAAGCUCUUCUUGAGGUUUAAAACUAUCAUGCUUCAUAUCCCUUUGUAUUUUAGUUAUACUAGUUAAGAAGGGUAAUAUUUUAGUUAUACUAGAGUUAAGAAGGGUGAGGUUUAGGACUGGAAUAGCAGAAUCUUUGUUUGGUUUGUGGUGUGUUAAUUUCAGCUUGCUUGUUUGGUAUUCUGUCAAUUUCAUCUUUUAUAUUUGGAAGUUUUUACUUGCAAUUAGCUUUUUUUCUUAAUUUAUUAUAUAAUAUAGAUGCAAUUCUCUACCAAAAAAUAAAAAUAUAGAUGCAAUUAGCAUCUUCUAUGUUUUGGAUGUUUAGGUAUAGGUGGGCUAUUUUUAUUAUGUUUAAGAGACCUUGUUUAGUAUAAUUAAUUGCAGCAAAAAA